UUCAAUUAGCUGCCUAUACAUGUCUUUGUGUUUGAGUCUCUAUCAGUUUUCCACAAGAAAUCAUGACCAGGCCUAACAUCAAAUUUGAAGUCCCCAGGAAGAAGAUGGGGCCCUACAACAACAACGAUUCCACAUGGACAAUAAUAAUACCACUAAGGUGACAAAACUCAUCUAUAGAUCAGCUUUGGACUACAAACUGCUCAGAGCAAUUUUGACAUGGCUAGCUAAGAUGAUCCAGUUUCACAGACUACUUGAAUAAGGAUUUGAGAUAAGCCCUGUACUUUGGAAUUAUGCACAGACGGGACAACAAAGGAUAUAGCUACCUUUCCUAGAAUUUGUCAAUUAACCCAAUUUUUUUUUUCAGAGUAAAGAUGCCUUUGCCCAUAACCAGCAGGAAGUCAUUUUAAGAAUACGAUGCCCACAUUCCCAAAGAGGUGGUGUGGGGUGGGUGGUUUUAUGGUCUUUCAAUGGGUUUGGGGUCUGGGAUAAUUUUCAUUGUUUAGGAGCAUUGGUUACAAGUUGUUGUUAAGGGUUAGGAAAAGGGCUAAGCAAAGGAGAUCAGAUUUAAAUUUCUUGUUUAAAAUAUAUAUAUAGAAUAGAAUAGAGGGAAGAUUAUUGAAUCUGCUCUGAAAAGUAAAGAAAAGAUAUAGAUACAAUAUAGAUAUAAAGAUAGAUUAUUGAAUCUACUUUUAAAAGACAAUUACUAGUUUUAAAUACUUUACAAUGGGUUGGAUUUUUGUAUAUUGUAUACAAAUUAUAUGUAUUGAGAUUGUUAGAAAAUGCUGUAUGUAUUUUGUCUAAUCUUGUUCAGAAUAUUGCACUUAUACAGUUCAUUUAACAAUGUAAUGCAAUUUGCUAAUCCUUAAAUUAUUGAUAUUAUUACCAACUUUAUAUUAGGAUAUAAAGAACUGAAAGUUAGUAGACAUUAGUUAGUUAGACAUUACAAACCAACUGGGAGUCAUAUUAGGUAUGUUUUCAAGGUAGAGCAGAUAUAUUUUAGAUAGACAGGUCAUCUUCAAACUCUUCAGAGAUCUGCAGAAUGUGGCAUUUAAAAUGUUUUAAUAACUUAGAAAUUUUUUUCUUUUUUUAUGACUAUGAGACAUGUCAGCUCCUGGCAGUACCAGUCUACUUCCAAGAAAAUAUGGGCAUUGAGGAAACUGCAUAUGGAGUUAACUUUCAUUGUGGCAAAAGUUAGCCACUGGACAACAAAGUAUCCUCGAAUUGACUGCUGACAAACAGAACAAAGUGGACAGACAGGACACGAAACAAAGGACUACUGAUUCUUGCCAAGACAAGUGAGGUUGUCGUUUUAGCAACAGGCAUACUCUGAGGCCAGGACAAUAUGGCACCAUCCCUGAAGUGGCCUUCGCAAUUCGGAAAAGAUUCCACAAAGUAAGGAGAAAAAUGGCGAAAGACUGUGGAGAAAAUAGUGAAGUCAGAGGGAAUAAGAAACAAGCUUCACUAAAAAGAACUCCAUCAGAGCCUGUGAGAUGGCUAGAACAAUCAUUAGUGCUUGAAAAAGACCUCUUUGACAGGAUAAAGGAUAUUCAAGAGGUGGGAGCAAUUUGUUUUGAGGACCAUAGGGGCUGCAGGAUCAGGCAGAGAAGAGUUGAAAGCUCAGUACAAGGGAACAGGUCACAGUGGUUUAAGGAAGAGAGAACUACCAUCGAAGGGCAGCAGGUCAGUUUGAGUCUGAGUGUUUGAGUCUGUUUCUACUGCAAGUAGUCUUCUGUGUUUCUAGUUGUCGCUUUCCUCACCUAGGUCUAUGUGAUUAUAAACUGUCCUAUUUGCAUGCCAUAAAAUGCAGCCCAUUGCUUGCUUUGUUUAUACAGGGCCCAAGAGAAUCCUUAUUACAAAGGCUGUCUCAGCAGCAAAUAGAAUGAUUCCAAAUGCAGAAGCUAGACAGAUAAUAAUUGAAUCUUUACCUUUUGAGAAUGUGAAUGCAGCAUGCAAAAGAAUAAUCUGGCCAUUAAAGGCAUGAUUAGUACCCUUGGAGGAUUGGAUCAAGGACACGAUUAAUAUUGAGUCUCAUGACCAUGAUGAUAAGUGGAUAGGAGAGGUUAUAUCAAAAGCUUUGAGGAAAGAUGGCAGAUGUUUUGGUUGUGGUAAACAAGGUCAUUUGAAAAGGGAAUGUAAACAGGGUGUUCCUAGAAAGAAUGUUUAUUCAAGGAACAAUGACAAUAGAAUGCCCCUCCCUUCUGGAGUAUGCAGAAAGUGUUGUAAGGGUAAAUAUUGGACCAACAAAUGUAGAUCAAGAAGGGAUAGACAAGGUAAUCCUUUGCCUCUGACCUCAGGAAACUCCCAAAGGGACCUCAUGCAAGUCCCCACAGCAAAUUCAGUUCAGACCUUUCCUGCCAUCAUAGAAAAAAAAAACACUUGUCAGAUCAAUUAAAUAACCAAAUGCCUUUUGGAAUAAACCAGGCUGCUUGGGGUGAUAGAACAGCUGUAGCAGAGAGAACAGGAAAUUCAGGAGAAACCAUAAGGCAAAUUUUCUAUACAUGAACAAAGUCAAAAACUUCUAUACUAGAACAAAGACAAAACUUAACAGGAAUAAAUGGUGUUCUCUCAGAAGGUUUGGUAGAUAUAGGUGCAGAUGUUACAAUAAUUGCACCAGAAUCUUGGCAUCCAAAUUGGCCUCUCCAGGAGAUAAAUGUUCAGAUUUUAGGGAUUGAAAUAUUAUCUCAAGUGAAACAGAGUGCAAGAUGGGUCAAAUAUAUAGGGCCAGAAGGACAGAAAGGAAAAUUAAAGCCAUAUGUGGCUAACAUAGCUAUGAACCUGUGGGGUCGAGACUUGAUGCAACAAAGGAAUACUCAGAUUAAUAUCCCUCCAAUCUCAGAAACAAAACAUAGCACAUGUUUCUGAGAGAAAUAUUAGAAGGCAUUAUUCUGAGUGGUCACCAGCCAUCCAUAUUAUAAAAGAACAGGGCACAACAACUGAUGAUCUCCCAAAGACACCAACAGCUCUACCUUUAAAAUGGUUAACAGACAAGCCUGUAUGGGUUCAGCAAUGGCCUUUAACAACAGAGAAACUUGAGGCUUUAGAAGAGCUGGUAGAAGAACAGUUAAAUACUCAGCAUAUUGAAGAAUCAAGCAGCCCUUGGAAUUCUCCUGUAUUUGUUAUUCAAAAGAAAUCUGGUAAAUGGACAAUGGUAACAGACCUUAGAGCAAUUAACAAAGUAAUUCAGCCAAUGGGCUCUCUACAAUCUGGAAUUCCUUUGCCUACUAUGUUACCAAAAGGAUGGCCUCUCAUAGUUAUUGAUUUAAAAGACUGUUUCUUUUCAAUACCCUUACAAGAAAAAGACAGAGAAAGAUUUGCUUUCACAGUGCCUACUUAUAAUAAUUCUCAACCAGUUAAGAGAUAUCAAUAAGGGUUCUCCCACAGGGAAUGUUGAAUAGCCCAACUCUGUGCCAAUAUUUUGUACAACAGCCAUUGGAAGUAAUACAAUAAAAAAUUCCUAAAUCUGUAAUUUAUCAUUAUAUUGACAAUAUUUUAUAAGCUGAUUCAAAUGCAGAUACUUUAGAAAGAAUAUUUGAAGAAGUAAAGACAAUUUUGGCUUGUUGAGGAUUACAAAUUGCUCCUGAAAAGAUACAAAGAGGAGAGUCUAUUAGUUAUUUAGGAUACAAAGUAGGUCUACAAAAAACUAGACCUCAAAAGGUAUAAAUUAGGAGAGAUCAAUUACAGACUUUUAAUGAUGUUCAAAGAUUAUUUGGAGACAUUUCCAAUCUACAAACUAUUGUUGGGGUAAAAAAUGAUGAACUGAGUAAAUUGUUCAAAACCUUAGAAGGUGACAAGGACUUAAAUAGUCCAAGAGAAUUAUCAGGUGAAGCUGAGAGAGAAUUGGCCUUGGGGGAAAAGAAAGUACAGGAAGGAUAUGUGGAUCAUGGGGAUCUAAAGCUUAAUUGCAUUUUGGUUAUUUUACCCUCUAGGCAUUCUCCUACAGGAAUUUUAAUUCAGAGGAAGAUAUUAUAUUGGAAUGGAUAUUUCUACCAAAUAAAUAAAAUAAAAAAUUAAAAACUUAUGUGGAAAAGAUCUCUGGCUUGAUUUUAAAAGGAAAAUUAAGACUUCAUCAGUUAGCAGGAAUAGACCCAGAAGAAAUUGUUGUAUCUUUAACUAAGGAGGAUAUUGACAAGUUAUGGGCAGAAAGCUAACAUUGGUAAAGAGCUUGCAGUAAUCUUUUGGAAGAAAUUAACAGCAAAUAUCCCAAAAGCAAUAGAAUUGAACUUAUAAAGAGAGCUGGUUGGAUUUUGCCUCAAAUUGUACGGGAAACACCCAUAUCUGGAGCUUGUACAUUUUAUACAGAUGCCAACAAACAAGGAAAGGCAGGUUACAAAUCAGAAAAUUUAAGUAAAGUGGUUCAAAAUCCAUAUAAUUUGGUUCAAAAAUUGGAAUUGUAUGCUAUUCUGUUGGUAUUAAUGGAUUUUUCAGAACCUCUCAACAUAGUUACUGAUUCUCAGUAUGCUGAAAGAGUGAUAUUACAUAUCAAGACUGAAUAACUUAUCCCUGAUGAGUCAGAAUUAACUUCACUAUUUAUUCAGUUACAAGAUACAAUCUGGAACAGGAAGCAUCCCUUAUAUAUAACUCACAUCCAAUCCCAUACGGGUCUGUCAGGCCCUCUAGCACAAGGUUAUGAUGAGACUGAUAAAUUAUUGAUAGGAAAUGUACUGGAGGCAUCAGAAUUUCAUUAAAAACAUUGUGUCAAUAGUAAAGGUUUAAAAAAGGAUUUUUUCAUAACCUAGCAACAAGCCAAGGAAAUUGUAAGGAAAUGUCCUACUUGUUCGUUUUAUAAUCAGACUCCAUUACCAGCAGGAUGUAAUGCAAAGGGUACUCAGAGGAAUGAAAUCUGGCAGAUGGAUGUGUUUCACUUUGCAGAAUUUAGAAAAUUGAAAUAUGUACACCACACCAUUGAUACUUACUCAGGAUUUCAAUAGGCAACUGUUUUGAGCUCUGAAAAAGCUGAUUCUGUAAUCACUCAUUUGCUAGAAGUUAUGGACAUUACAGGUAUGCCUGCACAAAUUAAAACUGACAGUGCUCCAGCAUAUGUCUCUGGUAAAAUGAAAUAGUUUUUUGCUCAUUACAAUAUAAAGCAUAUUACAAGUAUACCACAUAAUCCUACAGGCCAAGCAGUUAUAGAAAGAUCAAACAGAACUCUAAAGGAUAUGCUAAAUAAACAGAAAGGCAUAACAAAACCCCCAGAAAUAGACUGCAUAAUGCUUUAUUAACUUUGAAUUUUCUCAGUGCUAAUGAGAAAGGAACAACAGCUGCAGAGAGACAUUGGAUAAUAGAAAAAAAACUACAGGAUUAAAUCAGCCUAUAUAAUUUAAGGAUGUGCUGACCUCAGAAUGGAAACCAGGAUAUGUGUUACUUUGGGAACAAGGUUUUGCUUUUGUUUCUACAGGAGAAGAUAAGCUGUGGGUACCAUCAAAAUUGAUAAAGAGAGUCCUCUUAAUUAGAAGAGGUUAUAGUUCUUCAACUAGCAUGACCAUCCAAUUUAACCUAACUUAUACCAUUAACACAUGUCUUUUCAUUUAAUCAGAUAUAACUUGCCAAAAGGGAACCUCCCCAAAAUUAGUCUUGGGGAAAGGUUUUUGUUUUUGUCUUUUAGGAGAAUGAAGGCUAAGGAAUUUGAAGAACACUGGACAAAUGAGACAUCUGAAGAAAAAGGACAAAUCAUCUAGAAAAAAAAAGUCCCAAGAAAAAUUGGUAUAUCACAUAAAAUUUUUUGUCUUCCUAAAUGUUUUUUUUCUACUCUUCUCUAAAGACAAUUAACACAAAUGUUCUUUUUGUAGUCCCAGUUCAAUUAAAAAGUAAAGCUGGCUUUGGAGUUGGAGAAUGGCUCUCUCCUUCUUUAAACCCAAGUAUGUUGUUAAAAGAAAAAUGCAAAAUCUCUGUAUCAUGCCAGAAGAAAAGAGCCAUCUUCUGAUGUAAGACAGAAGAAAACGAAAAAAAUUAAGGGACUAUUGUAUUGCUACUAAUCUCAAUUCUUUGGUUCUAUUUUGAUUCUUUACACUUUUAUAAGGUAUGAAUUUUAGAUCAAAAUUUAUAAGAUUAAUAUAUGUAUAUAUUUUAAACUUUUGUUAUGAUAUUAAUGGUCAUAUAGAGUACUGACUAAUUCUAGAACAAAAGGCUUCAGUUAGCUGCCUAUACAUGUCUUUGUGUUUGAGUCUCUAUCAGUUUUCUGCAGGGAAUCAUGACCAGGCCUAUCAUUGAAUUUGAAGUCUCCAGAAAGAUGAUGGGACCCUACAAGGAUGAUUCCACAUGGACAAUAAUUAUACCACUAAGCUGACAAACAUCACCUACAGAUCAGCUUUGGACUACAAACUGCUCAGAACAAUUACAAGUUGGCUAGCUGAUAUGAUCCAGUUUCACAGACUACUUGAACGAAGACUUGAGAUAAGACCUGAACUUUGGCAUUAUGCAGAGACUGGACAACAAAUGAUAGAGCAACCUUUCCUAGAACUUGACAAUUAACCCAAGAUUUUUCUUUCAGAAUCCCCUAAAGAUGCCUUCACCUACAACUAGCAAUAAGCAAUUUUAAGAACCCAAUGCCCACAUUCCCAAAGAGGUGGUGUGGGAUGGGUGGUUUUUGGUCGUUCAAUGGGUUUUUCAUUUGGGAUAAUUUUCAUUGUUCUGGAGGGUUGGUUACAAGUUGUUGUUAAUGGUUAGGAAAAGGGCUAAACAAAGGAGAUUAGAUUUAAGGUUCUUGUUUGAAAAAAAAAGAAGAUAUAAAGAAAUGAUAGAAUAUAGGGUAGAUUAUUGAAUCUACUCUGAAAAGAAAAGAGAGGAUAUAGAUAUGAUAGAGAUAAAAAGGUAGAUUAUGGUGAUAUUUUAUUUGUAUUAAAAUGUUAUUUGUAUGUUAAUAAAUAAAGUUGCCCGGGGGUCAGAGCUAUUAGCAAGCCAUAGGAAAGCAGGGCAGUGGUAGCGUACGCUUGUAAUUCUAGCACUUGGUAGGCAGAGCUGGGUAAGUCUCUGUGUGUUCAGGGAUACAGCCAUUAUUGGAUACACAUGCUUUUAAUCUUAAUACCAAUCAUGGAAAACCUGGAGGCCUAUACAGACUGGCCGUGAGGAGGCGGUCAUGUGGUUGGGUUUACAACCAAUGAGAAGGCAGGACAGGAACUCUAUAUAAAGACUUUAACACAGGGGUAGCUCUGGUUCGGAGAGGUAGGACCACCGCAGGAGGAAGGGUAAGGUUUUGGCUCUUAGCUCUGACCUCUUGGCUUUCUUCUUUGCAUUGGUUCUGUGUUUCUUAUUUAAUAAGAAGGUUGGAUACAUCUACAGUAGAUUAUUGAAUCUACUUUUAAAAGACAAUUACUAGUGUUGAAUACUUUACAUUGGAUUAGAUUUUGUAUAUUGUAUACAAAUUAUGUGCAUUGAGAUUGAUAUUGUUAGAAAAUGCUGUAUGCAUUUUUUCUAAUCUUGUUCAGAAUAUUGUACUUAUUCAGUUCAUUUAACAAUGUAAUGCAAUUUGCUAAUCCUUGAAUGUUAUUAUUACCAACUAUUAGGAUAUAAAGAAAUGAAAGUUAGUAGUUAGACAUUACAAUCAAAAUUUUAGUCAUAUUAGGUAUGUUUUCAAGGCUAAGCAGAGAUAUAUUUUAGACAGACAGGUCAUCUUCAAACCCUUCAGAGAUCUACAGAAUGUGGCAUUUAAAAUAUUUUAAUAACUUAGAUUUUUUAUGACUAUGGGACAUGUCAGCUCCUGGCAGCACCAAUCUACUUCAGAGAAGAUAUGGACAUUGAAGAAACUGCAUAGGAAAUUAACUUUUAUUAUGGCAAAAGUUAGCCAUUGGGCAACAAAAUGCCCUUGCCUUGACUGCUGACAAACAGGACAAAAUGGACAGACAGGACACAAAACAAAGGACUGCCAAUCCUUGCCAAGACAAGUGUGGUUGUGGCUUUAGCAACAGGCAUCCUCUGAGGCCAGGACAAUAUGUCACCAUUGUUGAAGUGGCCUUUGCAAUCUGAAAAAGGUACAAUGCCCCUUUCUUCAAAGGCAACUGAACAGGCAGUGGACCAAUGGCUUCUGGAAUCUAACCUCUCCAUAGUAGACUGGCAUUUAAUAAAAGAGUUGAAGCCAGCCACAAGCUGAGAAGAAUGGACAUCUGAAUUCCAAAAACACCAACAAUUUCCAGAAUUUAAAAUCCUGAAUCAGGACACUGGUGGAAUGCAAGUUUAUCUGGUACAUGGACUACUCUCACCAAUUGUGAGGUUGAAUUGUAGGCCUUGUGUACAUCCUACUUCACAAAUGAGUCUGUCAGAUAUACUAAGCCUAUAGGCUGAAGAUGAUGCCCCAACAUUGCGGAGAAACCUCGAGUGACUGUCCAGGCAGCUGGCUGUUUCUGUCAACUCACAUUUUUUGGAAGCUGCUUGUUUGCACUUCCUGUUUUACUAGGUAAUAUUAUUUCCUUCUUAGGUCUCUUAGGGAGUUGAAGAUUAGAUAGUUAUAGUUAGUUGAAGAUUAGAUAGUUACAGUUAUAGUUUUCCUUGUUAAGAAUUUCAGAAAAGAAACUAAAGAGGUGUAAAGUGUAUAAAUUUGAAAGACAUUAUAAGAUAGUUCUCUGUUAGUAAUAUGUUAGGAUAGAAAGUGAUUCAGGUACAUUUUGGAUUUACCAAAAUAGGAUAGAUAAUGGAAUAUUAUCUCUGUUUGUCAAAUGCAAAUGGACUAGACAUUGUUAAGGUAUUUAUUGCUUGUAUAUACUGUAUAUAGUUAUUGUACUUAUUGUAUAUAGUUUUUAUUAUAUUAGUUAUUACUUUUUAUUUUUUAUUAGAAAAAGGGGGUAAUAUGGUGAUAUUUUAUUUGUCCUGAAAUGGGUUAUUUUAUUUGUAUGUUAAUAAAUAAAGUUUGCCUGGAGAUCAAAAGUCAUAGUCAGCCAUAAUCAGAAGUCUGGCGGUGGUAGCACAUGCCCUUAUUCUGAUCACAUGGCAAGCAGAGUCUCUGUGUGUUCAAAGACACAGCCAAGCAUGGUGACACACACUUUUAAUCCCAAUGCUAACCAUAGAGACCUGGAGGUCUGUAUAGACAGGCAGUGAUGAAGAAGUGAUGUGGCUGGGCUUAGAGCCAAUGAGAAGGCAGAACAGGAAGGCAAUAAAGGCAAAGGUUAGACAGGAAGAGGAUCUCUUGGGAAGCUAUGGUGAUGUGGUGAGCUAAGGUUAGUUGGCAGCUAUUGCUCUGAUCUCUAAGGCUUUAACCUCUGUA